AACGCACGAGACCUGCGGACCUGCGGAGGGAUCAUUACCGAGUUAUCCAACUCCCAACCCCUGUGAAUUAUACCUUUAAUUGUUGCUUCGGCGGGACUUCGCGCCCGCCGGGGACCCAAACCUUCUGAAUUUUUUAAUAAGUAUCUUCUGAGUGGUUAAAAAAAUGAAUCAAAACUUUUAACAACGGAUCUCU
rnacentral:misc_RNA from 1 species